CAGCAGCCGCGGUAAUACGGAGGGUGCAAGCGUUAAUCGGAAUUACUGGGCGUAAAGCGCACGCAGGCGGUCUGACAAGUCAGAGGUGAAAUCCCCGGGCUUAACCUGGGAACUGCAUUUGAAACUGUCAGGCUGGAGUCUUGUAGAGGGGGGUAGAAUUCCAGGUGUAGCGGUGAAAUGCGUAGAGAUCUGGAGGAAUACCGGUGGCGAAGGCGGCCCCCUGGACAAAGACUGACGCUCAGGUGCGAAAGCGUGGGGAGCAAACAGGAUUAGAUACCCCUGUAGUCCCUGUCUCUUAUAC
rnacentral:rRNA from 1 species